rnacentral:rRNA from 1 species
UGGGGAAUAUUGCACAAUGGGGGAAACCCUGAUGCAGCGACGCCGCGUGAGCGAAGAAGGUUUUCGAAUCGUAAAGCUCUGUCCUAUGAGAAGAUAAUGACGGUAUCAUAGGAGGAAGCCCCGGCUAAAUACGUGCCAGCAGCCGCGGUAAUACGUAUGGGGCGAGCGUUGUCCGGAAUUAUUGGGCGUAAAGGGUACGUAGGCGGUCUAUUAAGUCAGGUGUGAAAGCGUGAGGCUUAACCUCAUUAAGCACUUGAAACUGAUAGACUUGAGUGAAGGAGAGGAAAGUGGAAUUCCUAGUGUAGCGGUGAAAUGCGUAGAUAUUAAAAAGAAUACCGGUGGCGAAGGCGACUUACUGGGCUCAUUCUGACGCUGAGGAACGAAAGCGUGGGUAGCAAACAGG